UUGACUCAAGGCCACAAUGGGACUAUAAAGCCUGCAGCAAGGAUAUAAGUUAUCAUGUACAUGCAAAGACCGACACCCCACAGUCAAGCUCAUAUUCAAACGAUUCCUUUGAAAGUAACCAAGCAUGAAGACCACAUUUUUCAUCUGCGUUCUCGGAAUUGCAGUGUACAUGAUUCCGGAAGGAAAUACUGAAUCUCCCCCGUACCCAUAUCCGCCUGUGUGUGGUCCUGGCGAGGAAUUUCGUGGAUGUACUCACCCGUGUCCUCCGGUCUGCGGACAGCCACCUCCAGAUGAGUGCACAAGGCAUUGCGAAAACACCAGAUGUGACUGCAAAGAAGGGUAUAUCAGGUCUGGCAGCGCGAACGGUCCUUGUAUUCCGCUCAGCGAAUGCAAAAGCCAACUGCCGACGAAGUGAUCAGAUGCGCCUUGAAGGCCUAUAUGGGUGAUAUUGUGCCAGCCAUUCGAGACACCAUAUCGCAACUGAAGAUAACGCCAGAUUUUUUUUUGCGACAGUAUACGUAAUAAAAAGUCUUAUCCUAGA